UUCAGAGGCUGGGGCUUUAACCAGGCAUCAAGACUUGGAUCGCAAGUAGUUUCUGCAGGCUCCUUCUUGACAGUCUUCUAGAAAGGAGAAGAGGGAAAAGAAGCAGUUCCUGAUGCACAUGAACAACUGCUCCCAGGUAACCAGCUCCCUGCACCCUUUUCUAUCUGUUAACUAAUUUCUCAAAAAUUUCUGAAUCCCCCUCCUCCUCAUUACUAAGAGAGUGCAUGCACAAAAGCCCAUACAUGCAUUUAGAACACAGUAUGGGGGCUAGUUACCCUGCCCCUCCUGUCCAAAGCCUUAGUCCUUUGAAGGAAGAUGGCCGAAAGAGAGGAACUCCAAGUCACUUCUCAAAGAAAUGCUGGCUUAAACAUCAUCCUUGUCUAAUGAAGAAAACAAAGAAUUUCAUGUAUCUUGUGGAACACCUUCAGGUCAAAGUACCAGCAGAGUGAAGAAAGAAACUGCUAGAAGCCACAAAGCAAUACGCUUUUUAGUCAUCAAUGAAGAGCCCAAGGGAGGUUGAUGGAGAGGGAGACUGGGUUGAGGCUCAGUGUAUAAUAAUCUCUUGCCUAAUGUGUAUGCAUUAUUAUUAUGUUGUAUUAACAAUCAUAAUAGCUCACAUUUACUUAUCUGCUAAAAUCUGGUGUCUUGCAUGCAAUACAACCCUCAAAACAACCCUAUCAGUUGAGUAAUAUCCCUAUUUUAGAGCUUAGGAAACAGCUCACAAAAGCUCAGUAAUUUGUUCAAGAUCACAUAGCUAGUAAAUGGCAUAGCUGGGAUUGUGAACUCAAGAUAUCUCCAGAGGUUCUGUGCAUAACCAUUUGAUUAUAGUUCUUCCUUUAAAAACAAAACUGACAACUUUGCCAUAUAUAGUCUCUUAUUAGGAAAAGACCACAGUUUCUAACUGCUCUGCCUUCCUAUCCUCCCAGUCUCCUGAACUGGCAUAGAGAAGGCAAAGCACUGAGGGGUCCCAAGUUCCAUCCAGGAGCUUGCUGCUGUCUCCUGUACCAGUGUCCCAGCUCUGCAGAAUCAGCAAGGGACCAUCCUGCCUGCCUGCUAGAGAACUUGGGAGCCCACCUGAACUCCAGCUUUUCCAUACAUUGGGAUUCUCUCCUGGCCCUAACCAACUCUCUACACGUGUUGGUGUGUCAUGCCCCUUUCCACUCCCCCGAAUAGUUUUGAACUGACCAAUCCCUAAAGUUUCCACUAGAAAGUAUCCCUGACUAGGACAAUUGCUGAAUGGUCUGUGCUUGGACCCUCUCUGCAAGCCCUGGUAUUACUGAGUAGAUAAAUGUAAACUGGUUGGAGAUGGAAUGAAGAAUAAUCCAUUUUUCCCUGAGCUUUCUCAGUAAGAAGUACCAUGGCUCACCCACCCCCCAUUCUCAGCUUUAUGGAGCCAACACAUGAAUCUUCUAGUGUUCCCAUAUAGAGCUGCCCCAGGGCCUGGGAGUAAACUGACAGUCUAAUCUGAUAUGGGAAACACUAGGAGUUUGGUGGAAUCUCUAGGAAGGUAUGUGUUAGGCAUUGGGAUAGGGACUUUCCCCUAAAGGCUGAUGACUAUAUGAACAGGAGCAAUUUGGUGUAUAACAUGUCAGCCACAGAUGAGGAAGUGUUAUAUAAGAAAAAAACAUUACGCUGGUCAGGGGCUUGGGUCCUUGAAGCAACACAGCUGGACCACUUUGCCUGUUUCUCCUGUCCAGAUCUUAGAUAUCUUCCUACACUUAGCUGUCUGAUAGCCUUUCUUGUUCUUUUGUUUCUCUUUAUGAAUGUAGCGCAUCAUUUAUUGUCACAAUAAGCCAUAACUUCUGAACUCUCCAAUCUAACUCCCACAUUUUCUUGCUUCUAACACCUGUGUUUCUCUGGAGCUUCUCUGGAUCCUUGCAAUCCAAAGGUCAUAGAAUCAGAGACCAGGAAAAACUUGUCUUUAGAGAUCACUGGGUCCAUGCUCCACUACAGAUGAGGACACAGGUCCAGAGAUGAGAAGUGACUUCAGCAGGGUCAGAGAAUUUGUUAGUGCAGCUCAAGAUGGGUCUUACCCUCAACCCUUCUGCACACAUGCCAUUCCUGGGCUAUAAAACAGGCCUCUACAUAGUCAGAUCUGCGAUUUUUCAUGGCAAGGGAUAAUAUCAGAAAUGUUUCAUUUUCUCCUGCUAGUUUCCAUUCCCUUCCCCAUCCAGGCAUGAAAAGAAACAAAAGGCACUUGUAGUUUUCUUUGUUUUCCCAGCCUUGGCACUUCUUUGGGUGAUAUUGCUGAGGAACAGUGAAGUUGCUAAAAACAUGGUAUAAUCCACCCAUUGACUAACCUGGAGAGGAAAUUAAAGUUUGCUUUGUGAAUUCCCCCAAACCACUGUUCUCAUCAGGCCCUCCCAGAGCAUCCUCAUACCGUUCACAGUGUAGCCAUGUUCACUGGGCCCCAAACCCACUAGUUCUGUGCCUCACUUCAGCUUCCACAUGCAACUACCCUUCCUUCUGGAUAAAAGACCUCAUAUGUGAAAUAAAGUCAAAAUAUGAAAGU